rnacentral:lncRNA from 1 species
UAAAGCUGCAGCCACAGCACAAGGUGACAUUCACUCUUCCACACAGAAUAGGUCUGGACAGAAACUCGGUGACGUAAGAUAGAUUGUCGAAAAUCUCUCGUUGACUCCAGUGAUGCAAAGAAGAGUUUGGUUGUAAAGAAAGAGAAGAAGAAAAUAUCAGUCUUGUGCAUGAUGUCAACCAAAGAACAAAGAUACAGAAGACCUUCCUAACAAGAUAGCUUUUCACGUUGCUGGAUGUCAAUGGAUGUUCUGAUAGGAUCCUCCAUGGGCUGAAGCUAAUGAUGACAGAAGGUACACAGAGAACGGCCUGAAUCUGCCACCUCACGUGGGAGACAUCAAUAGCACAGCCAGGGCAAUGCUUCAUCUUCAGCUUUAUUAACUAACGCCUGACUGCCUACCGU